GCAGAGCAUCCUACGGGAGGCAGCAGUGGGGAAUAUUGCACAAUGGGCGCAAGCCUGAUGCAGCCAUGCCGCGUGUAUUGAAGAAGGCCUUCGGGUUGUAAAGUACUUUCAGCAGUGAGGAAGGUGGGUAUGUUAAUAGCAUAUUCAUUUGACGUUUAGCUGCAGAAGAAGCACCGGCUAACUCCGUGCCAGCAGCCGCGGUAAUACGGAGGGUGCGAGCGUUAAUCGGAAUUACUGGGCGUAAAGCGCAUGCAGGUGGUUUGUUAAGUCAGAUGUGAAAGCCCGGGGCUCAACCUCGGAAUUGCAUUUGAAACUGGCAAACUAGAGUACUGUAGAGGGGGUAGAAUUUCAGGUGUAGCGGUGAAAUGCGUAGAGAUCUGAAGGAAUACCGGUGGCGAAGGCGGCCCCCUGGACAGAUACUGACACUCAGAUGCGAAAGCGUGGGGAGCAAACAGGAUUAGAAACCCUGGUAG
rnacentral:rRNA from 1 species